UUUGCACCCAGGAGACAGAGGUAGCAGUGAGCUGUGAUCAUGCCACUGUACUCCAGCCUGGGCAACAGAGACUGCAGGAAAACAAAAGUUGACUACUGAGUCUCAUGUGGAACUGCCCACCUGACAUCUCCCCUGAGAGGCCUAAUGGGCGUCUCACCAUGGCCCACAGAGAACUGAUCCACUUGAUUUUCCCCAAGCUGGCCCCUCUCCUGCAGUCUCCCCAUCUCAGUCAAUGGCAACACCAUCCUCUUAGCUGCCCUGACUGAAAACCUAGCAGCCAUCCUGGAUUUCUCUCACAGUGCCUAUUCACUGUGUGAAUGCAUGAGUGGAAAGCUGAGUUCGCACUCGUGACUGGCCGGGGUCAACGCUGACGUUCUCUCCCACUUGGCGCGCUGAUUUGACUCAGCUGAUGAAGGUUGGGCCCUGGCGGGCGGGGCCGGAGAGGCGGGCCUGGAGCCAGGGGGCGGGACAGACGCCACGGAAACGCGCUCGCGCCGGCGCCGAACCACAACUUCUGGCGACACCCGCGCUUCCGCGCGGCAAGAUGGUGGCGCGCAGGAGGAAGCGGCCGGCGCGGGAACGGGACGACCGUAUCCCGAGCCCACCGGGUUACGCAGCUAUUCCAAUCAAGUUCUCCGAAAAGCAGCAGGCUUCUCACUACCUCUAUGUGAGAGCACUUGGCAUUUGACAAGGCACCAAGUCCACCUGGCCUCAGAAGAGGACUCUUUUUGUCCUCAGUGUGCCCCCAUACUGCACAGAAGAGAGCCUGUCCCGCCUCCUGUCCUCCUGUGGCCUCGUCCAGUCUGUAGAGUUGCAGGAGAAGCCGGACCUGGCCGAGAGCCCAAAGGAGUCAAGGUCGAAGUUUUUUCAUCCCAAGCCGGUUCCGGUGAGCCGCCAAGCACGGGGUUCCACUAGAGUGAGGGGGGUGGGGCAUUGUCCCCAGUGCGUUGGGGGAGCUGGCAGUGGGACGUCAGAGCAUUCUCUGGUCCUGAGCCCAUCCUCACCGUGUGUGGUGUAGGAGGCUGUCCAGGUGACAAAGCCUGCAAUUCUUUCCCAGAUUUGCCACAUCCUUGCACUUCUUGCCUGGCUUUUUCCAUCCUGUGUUAAUGCUCAGGGACCGUCUCUGCUGGGCGCUUGCGGGGCCUCCCCCGGCUGCCCUCCUGCUUCCCCCGCUGAGGGAGCGCCUUCCCCAGGCUUAGGGGCCGGGUCUGCAGGAGCACUGUUCUUCACAGCUUUCCCAGUGGCCCUGGAGCCCACACCUCCUCCCCACACAGUGGCAUUUGGCAUGGUGUGUGCCCAGGCCUGGCUUCCAAAAACCUGCCCUGGUCCAGGGCGACCCCUGCGUGUCACAGCAUCCCUCCUGUGACUGGAAGAAAGGCAGCCUGUGCGUCCCCUCUUCCUGAGGAAGAGCUGGGAACAGCUGU